CCCUAGCCCUGAUAGAAGUGGAAAUCCUUUUGUUUUUUUCUUUAAAAAACAAAAGAUUGAAACGGAUAGCAGGAUUAGCU
rfam:Flavobacterium reichenbachii strain LMG 25512 Contig05, whole genome shotgun sequence.